rnacentral:rRNA from 1 species
UUUGAUCCUGCUCAGGACGAACGCUGGCGGCGUGCCUAAUACAUGCAAGUCGAGCGGACAGAUGGGAGCUUGCUCCCUGAUGUUAGCGGCGGACGGGUGAGUAACACGUGGGUAACCUGCCUGUAAGACUGGGAUAACUCCGGGAAACCGGGGCUAAUACCGGAUGCUUGUUUGAACCGCAUGGUUCAAACAUAAAAGGUGGCUUCGGCUACCACUUACAGAUGGACCCGCGGCGCAUUAGCUAGUUGGUGAGGUAAUGGCUCACCAAGGCAACGAUGCGUAGCCGACCUGAGAGGGUGAUCGGCCACACUGGGACUGAGACACGGCCCAGACUCCUACGGGAGGCAGCAGUAGGGAAUCUUCCGCAAUGGACGAAAGUCUGACGGAGCAACGCCGCGUGAGUGAUGAAGGUUUUCGGAUCGUAAAGCUCUGUUGUUAGGGAAGAACAAGUGCCGUUCAAAUAGGGCGGCACCUUGACGGUACCUAACCAGAAAGCCACGGC